GGGGCAGGGUAGCCUAGUGGUUAGAGUGUAGAGGUGGCAGGUAGCCUAGUGGUUAGAGUGUAGAGGUGACAGGUAGCCUAGUGGUUAGAGUGUAGAGGCGGCAGGUAGCCUAGUGGUUAGAGUGUAGAGGCGGCAGGUAGCCUAGUGGUUAGAGUGUAGAGGCGGCAGGUAGCCUAGUGGUUAGAGUGUAGAGGCGGCAGGUAGCCUAGUGGUUAGAGUGUAGAGGCGGCAGGUAGCCUAGUGGUUAGAGUGUAGAGGCGGCAGGUAGCCUAGUGGUUAGAGUGUAGAGGCGGCAGGUAGCCUAGUGGUUAGAGUGUAGAGGCGGCAGGUAGCCUAGUGGUUAGAGUGUAGAGGUGGCAGGUAGUCUAGUGGUUAGAGUGUAGAGGUGGCAGGUAGUCUAGUGGUUAGAGUGUAGAGGAGGCAGGUAGCCUAGUGGUUAGAGUGUAGAGGUGGCAGGUAGCCUAGUGGUUAGAGUGUAGAGGAGGCAGGUAGUCUAGUGGUUAGAGUGUAGAGGUGGCAGGUAGCCUAGUGGUUAGAGUGUAGAGGUGGCAGGUAGCCUAGUGGUUAGAGUGUAGAGGUGGCAGGUAGCCUAGUGGUUAGAGUGUAGAGGCGGCAGGUAGCCUAGUGGUUAGAGUGUAGAGGUGGCAGGUAGCCUAGUGGUUAGAGUGUAGAGGUGGCAGGUAGCCUAGUGGUUAGAGUGUAGAGGAGGCAGGUAGUCUAGUGGUUAGAGUGUAGAGGUGGCAGGUAGCCUAGUGGUUAGAGUGUAGAGGUGGCAGGUAGCCUAGUGGUUAGAGUGUAGAGGUGGCAGGUAGCCUAAUGGUUAGAGUGUAGAGGCGGCAGGUAGCCUAAUGGUUAGAGUGUAGAGGUGGCAGGUAGCCUAGUGGUUAGAGUGUAGAGGUGGCAGGUAGCCUAAUGGUUAGAGUGUAGAGAUGGCAGGUAGCCUAGUGGUUAGAGUGUAGAGGUGACAGGUAGCCUAGUGGUUAGAGUGUAGAGGUGGCAGGUAGCCUAGUGGUUAGAGUGUAGAGGUGGCAGGUAGCCUAGUGGUUAGAGUGUAGAGGUGACAGGUAGCCUAGUGGUUAGAGUGUAGAGGUGGCAGGUAGCCUAGUGGUUAGAGUGUAGAGGUGGCAGGGUAGCCUAGUGGUUAGAGUGUAGAGGUGACAGGUAGCCU